CGAGCCCAUUGCUCAGUGACACUUUCAGUCAGUGUAUCGUCUUCACUGUGCAAUGCUCUCUACUAAGCUGAGAGCAAAGAGUAAGAGAAAAUGAAAUUUCUGCCCUGCGAGAGCUCACACAGUAUGGAGUUGUGUGGCUGUCUUAAAGGCUGUUCGGGGAGGGCAGGUAGAGAAGCCCGGCAGCGCUUUCCCUUGGGCCCCGCUAUGCUUUAAACAUAUCUCUAGAUUGCAAUUAUCCACCUCACUGUAAAGCCUUUCCUGACUAUCCAAAUUAAAAGUGCUGCCCACCCACCCACGGGAACACCUCCUAGUUCCUCCUCUGCUUUAUUUUUCUCUUUGCACUCACCACCAUCUGAUAGACUGUGUGCCUCUUAUUUCAUGUAUUAUCCUCUCCUGUAAAAUGUCAGCAGCAUGAGGGCAGCUGGUCUGUUUUGUUCCCUAUGCCCAGCACCUAGUUUAGGAUUUGACACAUGGUAGCUAUCCAGUAAAUAAUUGUUGAAUUAAGAAAUGAAUCCUUUUGUUUGUUUCUCCACCUAGACUGUGGGGCAGUACACAUCCUUGCAGUACCCAGCGCAAAAUAAGUGCACAAUUAGUGGUUAUUGGAUGAAGAAGUGGUUCGAAAUGGUCCAUGGUGGUAGGCCCCUGAUUUGCUAAUGUGAUGAGAUGUUGGACGAAAGAAAGAAUCCCAGCCCUGUCAAGAGACUUUUCAUACUAUUUGAAGAUUUCAGAUGAACAUAUACAAC
rnacentral:lncRNA from 10 species